UGGUUCCGUUCCGACUUGCGGUGCGGGGAAGCACAAGCCAACCGGCCAGCACAGAGCUCCGAGCGCAGGCGCGCAGCAGAGGCAGCAGCCAAGCCAGCCCGAUUCUUCCUCGCGGAGCUCGACCCCCAAUCGACUGCAACCAGCCACCCGCUAGCUAACCUCCCCGCGACCGGCGGCCCGAGCGCGCCGCCGUGGGGACCACGCCGUUGCCCGAUCUGCUCGCGCGGGGAUCUUUUGCCGUUUUGCUCCGAGCGCCCGAUUCAGGGGUGGGGAGCAAGUGUGGUUUGGGUUUCGGGCUUUCUGCUCGCUGAAUCGGGGCCUGUAGCGUCAGUUUGAUCCGAGAUCGGGAGGAGGAUCUGCCGCGAAAGACUCCGGCUCCCUGCUACGUUCUGGAAGCUUCCGCGGUGUACGGCUCCAGGCGCAGGUGGCUGGGGUUGUGCUGCGGCUCCGCGUUGAUGCGCUGCGUCUCCGGCGCCGCUGCUGUGGUCGGCGGGGUCGGAGCCUACGGCGACGCUGGUGGUUCCGGUUGGGGCGCGGGGCCGGGGACGUCGGUCCGCCUGCUGUGGCUGUGGGUGGGGAUCGACGGCGGGGAGUGAGCGGAUGGAAGAGGACUGCACUUACUGCUCUUGACUGAUAGAUUGUACCACAGCACUUGCUAGGGAUUUGGAUUUUGGACUCGAUUCGGGAGUUGGGUGAUUGGAUCGCUGCAGGGAUAGAUACAGGAUUUGAUUCGAGUAUUUGGGUAUUGUUCCGCGUCACAGCCUGAAGAGUGGUGUGGUGCUGUGGCGCACUGGUUUUGCUGGAGUCGCCACCAACUGGGAUAUGGUGGAUGAGAGGGAUUUUGGGUACCCUUCUGGAGAACUGCAGGUUAAAUUGUUGUAUUGGGGAUUCAGUCUUGUGGUUAAUUUACAAGGUGUGGCAUGAUGUCGCGGUGCUUCCCAUUCCCACCGCCAGGGUAUGAAGCAAUGCCAAGGAGGGAGAAGCAGCACAAGGAUCUGCUGAAAAAGGAAAAGCACAAGGAGAAGAAGCACAGAAAGGAAAAGGACAGGGGAAAAGGAGAAAGAAAGGAAAAGGAUGGAGAUCAUAGGAAAGAUAAGCACAACAAGAAACACAAAAGAGAGAAGCAUAGAGACAGGAGAAAUAAUGAGGACAGAGAUAAAGACAAAAAACAAAGCUUGAGACAGGACACUGAGAAGAAUUAUAAACAUGGCAACAGAAAACCAGAAGAAAGAGGGAAGAAUGAAGCAGUCAAAGAUAUUACACCAACAGAUGAGUUGAUUGCCCGAACUCUUGGUCAAGAAGGUGAUGCUAACCACAAAUGUGGCAAUAAUAUAUCUUUGCUUCCUCAGAGCACUGAUAGCAUUUGUGUUACUGGUUCUAAAGAGAAAGAAAGGAAUUCGCUUGGUAGAAUGGUUAAGAAAUCUGAAGAAGCAACACAGUGCAAUCAUGGGAUGGUACAAAAGAGUGAUAAUAUUGUGCGUACUAAUAAAAAGGGAAUGGCCAGGGGUGUUGAUUCUAAAACUAAAAUAAAGAAUGGGAAGAGCCUUCAAGUUGGAUCAGCUGAAAUGCAUUCCAGGAGAAAGCACAGUUGUAAUGGAGUGGACAUAUGGCAGGAUAAUCACAGUUGUAAUGGAGUGGACGUACAGCAGGAUAAUUCUAAUGCACGACGAAGCUCUGAAGAUGUACAUACUGCUAGGCCAGUUGUAUCAGGUUCAGGGAGAGAAGCAAAUGGCAGACUUACACUAAGCCCAAAUAGAUUGCAGAGGGCAGAAGAAAUGGAACCUGAUCCAGAAAUAUCUGUCCAUUCUACAAAAGGGAAAAAUGAUAGAAGUAACACCAAAGGUGGUAUGAUGGGAAAGGAAAAUCGAAGUGCUAAAAAUUGCCGUGGCAAGAUGAAUCAGCAAUCCGUACGAAAUAAAGAAGGAGGAGUUGAAGGGGAAGGCAAAAACAAACUAUUGUAAGGCUGUUAAAGGCAAAGAUAGAGAUAGGGUUGUAAAGAAAAGAAAGGUUGAAUACAAAAAUAAAGAGAAAGAAAUGGAGAAAAUUGGUACCAUGAAUGAGCAUAAACAUGAAGAUCUUGGUGCAAAAAAGGAUCAGGUACAAAAUCUUAUGUGCUCGGGUUUUCUUAAUGGGCAAAAGUUCACGUCUGACAAUGUAAAAAAACGGAAAGACUUUGACGCUAAUACUUCUCCAGAUGAACACAGUAUGACGAUGACUAAGAUGCCAAAGGCGUCCCCUACCAAGGAUGAAGAAAUAUACCGGCAUUCUCAGCGGAUCACACCUUAUAGUUCUACAGAACUACCUGGCACGAACACUCGCGAGAUAGCCUGGCCUAAGUCUCAGGAUGGCUACAACAGUGCCAUCACUGGAUCCCGUUGUUCGGAGGGAGACAUCUCUUCAGUUUCUUCAUCUGGUCAGAGGAGUAACAAAGGUUAUCGGGAGCAGCCUCACCCUGAUACCAAGUACCUGAACCAAUUGUACUCCAUACCUCCAGCUCAGGACUUCUCUGACUUCAUCGAUCAGGACUGGCUGUUUUCCCAGGAUGGUGAGGAGCGGAAAACUGCGGCAUUUGAGGCUGCAGAAUCAGACCAAGUCUGGUCUGAUGCACAGAUAAUUGAUACUGCUGGUGUAAUUGCUUUGCCUUACGUUGUUCCAUUGUGAUGACACUCGCAGCGAUACACGCCGUGAGUUGGCAACUGCAACUUGAGUUAUGAUAUGAAGGCGCAGAAUAUCGAUUCGCCUGAAUAGUUUUCUGCCUGCCGUGUGCUGUA